AAUAUUUUCUUCAGUGUCGUGUUUUCUUUUUAUAUCGACGAGUGAGUCAGGCGGAUAUUUAAUUUUUUUAAAUUUAUUUUCGAAACGAGAAAUGAAUCUAGCAAAAUGGCGGUGACGUUUCACUCCGCACGUAAUAAAGUAGUCCCUGUUAUGUACAGUUGUCUUUCCUUUUUAGGAACUACUGUCUUUACAGGCAAAAUCGUACUUAAAGUUAGAAUCUGGUUAGGUCAAAUCACUAUGUUGGACUUUAAACCUGCUGUGACGGUUAUCAUAUGAGAGAAGUGGAGCCGCCCCGCAUAGGACUUUGACGUGCCUGCGUGGCAGCAACAUGGCCGGAGCUGAUUGCGCAACACCAAGCGUUCCACCCAUGGCAAUUACAGCAGUGGUCCCCAACCACCGGUCCAGGGCCCGGUACCGGUCCGUGAGGCAUUUGCUACCGCAGGGGUGUCAAACUCAUUUUAGAUCGGGGGCCACAUGGAGAAGAAUCUACACCCAAGUCGGCCGGAUUGUGAGGGGAGCAGUGAGCAGCAGCGGCGACCACGCCUGGGAAUCAUUUUGGUGAUUUAAACCCCAAUUCCAACCCUUGAUGCUGAGUGCCAAGCAGGGAGGUAAUGAGUCACAUUUUUAUAGUCUUUGGUAUGGCUCGUAUAGAUAGACAAUAUAGACAAAUAGAACAAGCACAUUCUGAAAUUGUACAAAUCAUAAUGGU